CCCGCUGAACUUAAGCAUAUCAAUAAGCGGAGGAAAAGAAACUAACAAGGAUUCCCCUAGUAACGGCGAGUGAAGAGGGAAGAGCUCAAAUUUUGAAUCUGGCAUCUUUGGUGUCUGAGUUGUAAUCUAUAGAAGUGCUUUCUGUGCCAGUCCGUGCACAUAGUCUCCGGGAAUGGACCGUCAUAGAGGGUGAGAAUCCCGUAUAUGGCACGGACUCCCGUUGCGUCUGUGGAACACUCUCAGCGAGUCGAGUUGUUUGGGAACGCAGCUCCAAAUGGGUGGUAAAUGCCAUCUCAACCUAAAUAUUGUCGAGAGUCCGAUAGCGAACAAGUUCCGUGACGGAAAGAUGAAAAGCACUUUGGAAAGAGAGUGAAGCAGUACGUGUAAAUUGUUGAAAGAGAAACACUUGAAGUCAGUCAUACCCUAUGGGAUUCGUCCUUGCUUCUGCUUGGUUUACUUCCUGUUGGGUGGGUCAACAUCAGUUUCUGUCAGCGGAAACAGGCCAGCAGAAGGUGGCAUCACCACUCUAUGUCACAGCCACGGUAUCUACCUUCGGGCCGACCUAUAGCCCAGCAUCUAACCUGGUCGACUGGGAUCUAACACCGCUACACGCUUAGGAUGUUGGCAUAAUGGCUGCAAGCGACCCGUCUUGAAACACGG
rnacentral:rRNA from 1 species